rnacentral:rRNA from 1 species
UACGUAGGGUGCAAGCGUUAAUCGGAAUUACUGGGCGUAAAGCGUGCGCAGGCGGUGAUGUAAGACAGUUGUGAAAUCCCCGGGCUUAACCUGGGAACUGCGUUUGAAACUACAAGGCUAGAGUGUGGCAGAGGGGGGUGGAAUUCCGACGUGUAGCAGUGAAAUGCGUAGAGAUGUGGAGGAACACCGAUGGCGAAGGCAGCCCCCUGGGUUAACACUGACGCUCAGGCACGAAAGCGUGGGGAGCAAACAGG